CCCCUGCUCCCCGCACCCUCCCACUCCUCCUCCCCCCUCCCCGCCAAGCAGCCCUGCUCACCUCCCACCGGCUGCACCUUUCCUUUGGCUGCAGUAAUGAACUUGGGUUUCUCAUAGGCAGCACCGUAUAGACAGGACCUGCUGGCAGGAUGCGGGCCAGGGUCGCAGGCAAGCCACGAUGGAGACACACCUCACAGCCCAGCUCCAGUGACCUCAGAGGAGCCCAGUGAGGCCCACUCUGCAGACCACGCACCCCCAGCAGGGCCCUCCCCGUCUGUGCCUCCAGGGGCACAGCUGGGUGUGCAUGGCCAGUCAGGACCUGGACUGAGAACAGGCUGGGUCAUGCACCGGGCAACUGGCCACAGCCAGUGACUUCUGUGGUCACUGCCAGAGGCACCGCCGGCUGGCUGCAGGCCAGUGGGAGCAGGAGAGGGCAGCCAUCCUCUCCACUCCGCUGUCACAGUGACCUUCAGGUCAGGACGCCCAGACCAGACACAAAGGCCCUGUACGGGAGACAGGUCGCAGGAGGGGGUGUGCCGCGCCCCUGGACCGCCCCCGCCCUGUGUCAUUGGUAGCUGGUGUCCGUCCGGCACCUUCUCAGGACCGGCUGGAGUCCCAGGCCUCCCUGGGGUGGGGCUGAGGUGUGGGCAGCCCACGGCUGGGUCUCUGCCUCCCUGAGGCCUCUCAGUGGGCUGGGGACGACCUCAACAGGAACGAGCGUCUUUACCUGUCCCGUGAGAGGUGCAGAAAGAGGACCCGAAAGGCUAUCGUCCAUGUCUUUCAGCAGCAGCGAGCACUCGGUGGCUUCAGUGACCGCCGACUGCUGCGCAACCCUGACCCGCAGGCUCAGGCACCUGACGGAGGGACAGUUUGGGGCCUGGAGUCAGAAGCCCCAGGGCCGCGUCAGGACUUGCGGCUGGGCUGCUGCUGUUCUCCCCGGUGUUCAUCCAGGGAUGCUCGAAGAAACGCUUUUGGAGCGUUUCUUGAAAAUCAACAUCAUACGGGCCUCAUUCUGUGAUCGCAUGUGAUAAAAUCAGCCCCACCCCAGGCACUGCAUCCAGGUGGAAAUUCAAAAACCCUCUCCUACUUGACUCACUAGUGGAACAGAACCCGCGCUGAAGCGUUGGGCGGUUCACACGCUGCUGCUGCGGGGCCCAGGGCAAGGCCGGGAGGGAGGCGGAGAGCACAGGAGCCAGGCUGCGGCCCGGAGCAGCCACAGCAGGGCCCCGGGCUGCCCUCGCGCAGAUGCAGAGAGCUCCACAAAGACGAAGCAGAACACAAGGAAAGCCCGAGUCAGACAGAAAUCCGUGUUGCUGGGGUCUGUAAACCAAAGCCAGCUCCUUAAAAAGGUCCACUGUGUUGGAGCCUGUGAUUCUGAUUUAGAAGAGAUGGCGUCGCCAGCCUGGCUAACACGGUGAAACCACAUCUCUACUAAAAAUACAAAAAUUAGCCGGGCGUGUUGGCGCGUGCCUGUAAUCCCAGCAACCCGGGAGGCUGAGGCAGGAGAAUUGCUUGAACCAGGGAGCUGGAAGUUGCAGUGAGCUGAGAUUGCACCACUGUGCUCCAGCCUGGGCGACAGAGAGACGGCGCCGAUAAACGGCAAUGAGGGAGGCGUGCCUGCGGCAAGGGCUUUGUGAAAGCUGUAAGAACACAUGCCCUACAAAUUCACACGGACACACCACAAACUUAGAGGAAAAGGGUUCCUAGGCCCUUCCCAAGGCCCUGGAGUUGCCUUUCGAAGCCAGACAGGACACGUGGAUGCAAGGCCCACUUCUCAGAGAAAGCCUGAAGCAAGCUCAGGAAACUUCUGGAGCUUUCUGGAGCUGUGCGGAAAGCUGUGGAUAUGAGGCCCCAUGACAUGGGCCUCUGAACUUGCACAGGCUGGACGUAUGGCACAAAAAUCGCAGAUGGAAAAGAGGAAACCACAGCUUUCACGCUAAUGAACAGUGUUUCUUACAAGGAGUUACCUGGCUUCUAGAUCUGUGAUCAUGAAUUCCAAUAAAGGCAGUCGGUUUGGUCUUUCUUUCUUGAGGA